GGCUUAUAUUGUGCUUCCAGUUUGUGAUCCUUCUCAGAACUGUUGUGUUGGUGUUGUUGAGUGUUUUAUGAAGCGCUCUGAUUGCUCUCUUGUGAUUUUCAAUCAGUUGAAUCACGCACUGGAGGUUUGCUCGAUUGAACGCGGUUGUUUACAAGUCUUCGCUUCAUCAUAUCCCUUAAUAACUUAUGUGAGUAAUCACUGAUUUAGUUAAUUGUGAUUUUAAGUUUCUUCUAGUGAAAUAUUCAUGUAUUACUGCUUUAUUGUGAGUAGAA